GUCUGUAGCUCAGUUGGUUAGAGCACACGCU
rnacentral:sRNA from 1 species